rnacentral:rRNA from 1 species
UAGGGAGCGAGCGUUGUCCGGAUUUACUGGGUGUAAAGGGUGCGUAGGCGGGCUGUCAAGUCAGAUGUGAAAUACCGGGGCUUAACUCCGGGGCUGCAUUUGAAACUGAUGGUCUUGAGUGAAGUAGAGGCAGGCGGAAUUCCUAGUGUAGCGGUGAAAUGCGUAGAUAUUAGGAGGAACACCAGUGGCGAAGGCGGCCUGCUGGGCUUUAACUGACGCUGAGGCACGAAAGCAUGGGGAGCAAA